rnacentral:lncRNA from 1 species
GUGGCAGCAGUGUAACUUGUGUAACAAGUUACUUUAUUGUUAGUAGUAGCUAACUCUUUGCCACCUUUGUUCCUAGCAAUGUGUUCACAUCAGGUCCCAGGAAAACACCUUCCUGCAGCACCUCAGGGUACCAAACAUACACGUCUCUGGCUGCUCCUUGCAUGCUGCAUCCUGCCAAGGACAAACAUUCCAAAUUGAGUGGCUCGGUGUUCCUUGCAGCUGUACCAGGCACAAGGGAAAGUGUCACUGGCCUUCCUGUAGCCUAGAUUGAGAAUACCAGCUGGGGCAGUCUCUUAAGGGCUGAGAACUUUGGCAAUGUACAAAGAGGAGGAUACUAGCCCUCUCACUGCACAGCCUGGACUUCAGGAGCAAUGACGUGGGCCCAGUUGCCAGAGUACACAACCCUAGCUCAGGUUUCCAAGGCAAUAUCCGGAGCUUAAUGUGCUGAUGUCGCAAAAGAAAGGUCCUGAGCAAACUUGUAUGGUGCUAUAGAUUCAGCAUUAUGAUUAAGGGCUGCUUGCAUGGUUUCCUCUCUCUCUGGCGAUCAUGGUUUCAAGUAAUACAUUUCAUGUGGCUCUCACAUUGUUUCUCCUUUUUUAUUUUAUACCCAGGAGAUAAAGAAAACUAGAUCUGGA